AAGACACGGGAAGAAAAGAGUGUAGAAUUCCCGAAGCCGUGGACCUAAGCAAUGUGGUCUGCAAACCAGAGUCUGAGAAGUGUUGUAUUUUGCCGGGUAAGGUAAAAAGAACUGUACACCGGAGGGAGCUUAUAAGACAUCAACGACGGAAUGUUCAGGCAACAAAAGAAGACAGGACAAGACAAGACAAAAUGAAUCACAGGCUCCAGGCUCAGGGAGAGACCCUUCUUCGUGGGAAGAAGACAGAGGACAGAGGGAGAUACCUGGUGACGUCCCUUAACAGAGCUGCAAAAUAUGGACUGUAGACCACAGAGGAGCUGGAAGAGUUCUGAGAGGUGAAGCACUGAGGAGAAAGGGUUGUAGUAGAUUGUGUCCCCCACCCCUAGGGUGUUUGCAAUUUGAGGGAGACCUUGGCAGGCAGCCAUGCUCACUGCUAUACCACCAAUGUGGCAUCUUGGGGACACCUCAGGAAUAUCAUCUGGCUGCUUUU
rnacentral:lncRNA from 1 species